rnacentral:lncRNA from 1 species
AUCUAGAGAUAAUUUGAAGUACAGGGAUGUGUGUAGGUUCUAUGCAAAUACUGUGGCAGAUGAAGUAAAGGACUUCAGUAUCUGUGGUUUUUGGUAUCUUCAGGGGUCCAAGAACCAAUCCCCCACCAUUACUGAGGGACUACUGAAGUGGAGGUGGGUUUUGACCCUGGAUCUUCUAGUUCACAAACUCCAUCCCAGGUUGCCUGAUGUGGUUAUGCUGUGCAGGGACUUACUGGAAUUCAGCAGGGUAAUUCCCCUCUCUCUCUCUCUCUCUCUCUCUCUCUCUCUCUCUGUAUUGGAAUUGAAUACAGAGGCACUUAACCACUGAGCCACAUCCCCACUCUAUUUUAAUAUUUUAUAUAGAGACAGGGUCUCCCUGAGUUACUUGGGGCUUUGCUAAGUUGCUGAGGCUGGCUUUGAGCUUAUGACUCUCCUGCCUCAGCCUCCCGAGCUGCUGGGAUCACAGGUGUGCACCACUGCACCUGGCUAGGGCAAUUCCUCUUGAACAAGAGUUGAAUCCUCAGAGCGGACAGUGUUCCUGCUGCAGGGCACAGCACAGAUGGCAAAUCUGGGCCUCAUUUCUGCCAAGCUGUCUAAGAGAAUGGCAUGAUAUAUCGCUCAUCUUCUUCCACGUCCAAGCCUCUUCAGCAACUGCUCCUGACUCUUCUGAAAACAAGAGUAUUUCCUCCAAGUCUGGUCAACUUCAUAGACCAAUGCUUUGCUUUGUUUUUCCUUUCCUUUUUUUCUCCCCUUCCUCCCUCCUUCCCUCCCUUCUCUCUCAUUUUCUUUUUAGGGUUUCUUCCCCUUCUGGUUCCUGUGCAUAGGCAUUCAUAAGACCACACACUUGCAAUCAUAGCCAGAUGGCAAUUGUAUGUUCUGCUUUUUCUGUUUUAAAUGACACCCUCAGCAUUCUUCUGUGUUGCUACAGGAUAAUCAUAGUUAUAUUUACAAAUGCCUGCUGUCACUCUGGUCUUGCUGUCCCACAGUCCACCUUCGACUUGCCUCCAGUGGAUGUUUCUACAAUGUAAGUCUGAUCCUUUUGCUCCUCUGCUUAAAGCCAUCUUGGCACCCCAGGACAUUAGGGCAUCUAGGCACAGACCCUGUUGACCUUCUUGUAUCUUAACCCCUAUACCAGUUAGAGUCUUGGCAGAAAAUGGAAUUUGUUCCAGAUGGUUCUGACAAAGAGACUUUAAUGAAGGUAGGGAUCAAAUGAGGACAAGCAGCAGAAGACACUAUGGUGGAGCCACUGGAGCGGGGAGGGAGCAGGGAGGAAAUGCUGCUUCUCUCUCUUCCCUCUACCCAUCUCCUGUGUUUCCCAUUGACUGAAUCCAGCUGGAGGCCAGAGGCCAGUGGGCCCCGGUGGAAUGAUCCACAGGGAUCAAUGCAUGGCACAGAAGGGCAGAGAGUGGACCUGGGAGUGAGUGGGGGGAGGACACAAAUGGAGAUCCCCUAGCACACUCCUAUUCCCCAGGUGUUGUCCCUAGCCUCUGCACCUUUGCAGUGGCUGUGUCUCUGCAAGAAAAAUCAGUCUGUCUUUUUCCACCUUGAAAAUUCCUAUCUUUAAUCUCGUUUCAAUGCUCCCUGGACUGAGCUCCUUCAGUCUUUUAAUUGUUGAGAACGCUCAUUAAAGGCAAGGGUGAGCUGAGGAAGCACUAGUCUUGGGUGCAAACUUGAAGUAGGGAAGUGUGUGUGUUUGCCCAAAAUUUUGCAAUCAAGGCAGGAUAUUUUAGAGCAAUUUUUUUUGGGGGGGUACCUGGGAUUGAAUUCAGAGGCACUCAACCCCUGAGCCGCAUCCCCAGCCAUAUUAUGUAUUCUUAUGUAGAGACAGGGUCUCACUGAGUUGCUUAUUGCCUUGCUUUUUUUGAGGCUGGCUUUGAACUUUUGAUCCUCCUGCCUCAGCCUCCCAAGCUGCUGGGAUUAUAGGCAUGUGUCACUGAGCCCAGCUUAAUGCGAUAUUUUUAAAAAAUCAAAUCAACAAACUACAGCUCAUGGGCCAGCUGCCUAUUUUAUUUGAAUAUCCACCUAAACAGGAAUAAUGCUCUAGUGUGAUGUUUAAAAAACUUCUUUUUAACCUUGACUUAGGGUAAGAAAUAAAUUUCACAUUGUGACCCCUACAACUCCAGACCCCCAGACAUUGGACUGAAACAAAAGUUUCUUGUUGCAGGAUUUAUUUUCACUAAGCAUGAAAUGCACUUUGCUAUUUUUUAUUCUAGUCUAGUCAGUUUGGUUUCAUUAAAAUAUGCUGCUCAGGAGGCUGAGACAGGAGGAUCACAAGUUCAAGGCCAGCCUUGGCAAUUUAGUAAGACCCUAUCUCAAACUAAAAUAUAAAAAAGACUGAGAAUGUAGCUCAGUGGUAAAGUGCCCCUGGGUUCAAUUCCCAAUGUCAAAUAAAAUAAAAUAAAAUAUAAAAUAAAU